UCUCCUAUGGCGCAAUUGGUGGCGCGUCUGACUGUUAGGCAUGCUUAGUCACGAGCACCUAAACUUGAAAUCAGAAGGUUGGUGGUUCGAGCCCACCUGGGAGAG